rnacentral:rRNA from 1 species
GACGAACGCUGGCGGCGUGCUUAACACAUGCAAGUCGAGCGGAGCGGCGAACGGGUGAGUAACGCGUGAGUAACUGCCCCCCUCUCUGGGAUAACAGUUGGAAACGGCUGCUAAUACCGGAUAGUGGGGGAUGACUCGCGUCCAAUCAGCUCGUUGGUGGGGUAGUGGCCUACCAAGGCGACGGCGGGGAGCCGGCCUGAGAGGGCGACCGGCCACAGUGGGCUGCGCUACGGUCCAAACUCCUACGGGGGGCAGCAGUGGGGAAUAUUGCAGAAUGGGGGAAGCCCUGGUGCAGCAACGCCGCGUGCGGAAUAACGGCCUUCGGGUUGUAAACCGCGUCCAUCCAUGACGCGGUAGUGGCAGAAGAAGCACCGGCUAACUACGUGACAGCAGCCGCGGUAAUAC